rnacentral:rRNA from 1 species
AGCGAACGCUGGCGGUAGGCCUAACACAUGCAAGUCGAACGGCAGCACAGUAAGAGCUUGCUCUUACGAGUGGCGAGUGGCGGACGGGUGAGGAAUAAAUCGGAAUCUACUUUUUCGUGGGGGAUACCGUAGGGAAACUUACGCUAAUACAGCAUACGACCUACGGGUGAAAGCUGGGGAUAUUCGGACCUUGCGCGAUUGAAUGGGCCGAUGUCGGAUUAGCUAGUUGGCGGGGUAAUGGCCCACCAAGGCGACGACCGGUAGCUGGCCUGAGAGGAUGAUCAGCCACACUGGAACUUAGACACGGUCCAGACUCCUGCGGGAGGCAGCAGUGGGGAAUAGUGGACAAUGGUCGCAAGCCUGAUCCAGCCAUACCGCGUGGGUGAAGAAGGCCUUCGGGUUGUAAAGCCCUUUUGUUGGGAAAGAAAAUCAGCAGGUUAAUACCCCGCUGUUCUGACGGUACCCAAAGAAUAAGCACCGGCUAACUUCGUG